AGUGGCCUCAUGCUGAAUGAGGUGAGCAACACAUCAACAAGAUGCUUCGCAAAGUUGGCGUCCUGUGGCUUUGAACGCAACAGGCGAUUUGCGAGUAUGACGGUCAACCCAGCAUGAAUGGAAAGUGUAUAAGGAGCAGAUUUGAACCCGGGACUACUUGCCUUGAUGUCUGGUGCAGAUGCCACUACACCCCUGGCCGGCACCCAAGUGAAUACCUUGCAUCAAUAUCUACCAAGGAGAAGGAAGUGGAGGAUAGAAAGAUAAGUAUGGAGUAUGCUGACAUGCUAGGGUAUUUUCAGAUAAAGAAAGAGUUAUUGCUGGGUCUCCUAAUGAGCAUUAAGGUGGAUAACUCCCCAGGCCUGAUUGGUUAUACCUCAGGUUAUUAUGAGAGGCAAGAGAUGAGAUUGCUGAAGUCUUGACAAACAUCUUCAUGUCAUUUCUAGUCAUGGGCGAGGUCCCAGAGGAUGAGUGAGUAGCUAAUGUCCCAUGAUUUAAGCAAGGAAAUAGGGGUAAUCCUAGAAACUCUAAACAAGUGAGUUUCACUUCAGUGGGAGGGAAGGUACUGGAGAGGAUUUUUAAGGAUAAAAAUUAUGAGAAUUGGAAAUCCAUUGCCUAAUUAUGGACAAUCACCAUGGCCGUGUGCAGGGAAGUAAAGCCUUACUAACUUGAUUGAGUUUUUCGAGGAGGUAGCGAAGGUGAUUGAUGAGUUAGAGUCACAGAUGUUGCCUACAUCGAUUUUAGAAAGGCGUUUGACAAGAUCCCUCAUGGGAGGCUCAUUCAGAAGAUUAAGAUGCAUGAGAUUCACGGUGAAUUAGCCGUUUGGAUUCAGAAUACAGAGGGUAGUAGUCAAUAGUGCUUAUUCUGACUGGAGGUUAGUGACUAGUGGUUUGUACUAGUAAUUCUGCUCUUUGCCAUAUAUAUAAAUGGUGUAAUGAGAAAGUAGAUGGAUGGACUAGUCAGUCUGCAGACAUGCGAAGGUGGGUGGUGCAGAGGAUUUCUAAAGAACUCAGCAGGAAAGAGAUCUGUUGCAGAUAUUGGUGAAGAAAUGGCAAAUGUGAAGUGUUGCACACUGGGAGAUCAAACAUAAAGGGACAGCACAGUGUAUAGAGGGAUGUUGGGUUCCAAGACCAUAACUCCCUGAAAGUGGCUACACAAGCUAUAGGGUAGUAAAGAAGACACAUGCAUGCUUGCAAUUGAGUCCAAGUAUCGUGAAGUUAUUUAUCAGCUUUAUGAAGCUCUAGUUAGGCCCUAUCUAGAAUAUUGCCCUUAAUUCCCCUCCCCCAUAAUAGGAAGGAUUUGGAAAGGGUGUAGAAGAGAUUUACCAGUAUGUUGACUGGAUUAGAGGGCAUGCACUAUAAAGAGAGUUUCGACACACUUGGAUUGUUUACUCUGGAACAGAAGAAGCUGACAGAAGAGUUUAUUAUGGUUUAUAAGAUUAUGAUAGGCAAAGAUAGAGAGCUAGUAUCUUUUCAAAGUUCAAAUUUCAAAGUAAGUAUUAUAUCAAAGUACGUAUAUGUCAUCAUUACAACCCUGAGAUUCAUUUUCUUGUGAUCACAGUAAAUACAAUAAAAUGAAUAAAAGAGCACACCAACAGGAUAGAUAAGCAAUGUGCAAAAGACAACAAUCUGGGCAAAUGCAAAAAGAAAAAUAAAUAGAUAGAUAGAUAAAUAAAUAAAAUCAAGAACAUGAGAUGACCAGUUCUUGAAAGGGAGUCCAGAGGUUGUGGGAACAGUUCAGAAAUAAGGCGAGUGAAAUUAUCCCCUUUAAUUCAAGAACCUGAUGGCUUCAGGGUAAUCAUUGUUCCUAAUCGUGGAGAUACGGGCACCUUCUUCAUGGUGGCUGCAGCAAGAAGAGAGCAUGAUCUGGAUGGUGGGGGUCCCUGACGAUGGAUGCUGCUUUCCUGCAACAGCACGCCACGUAACUGUGCUCAAUGUUGGGGAGGGCUUUACCCAUUGACGUGCCAGAGGGCAUGCAUUUAAGGUGAGAGGGAUAUGUUCAAAGCCACAAGGUGUGAGAUCAUGUUCAACCUCAUUCAUUAACUUAAAAGUAUGGUUUUUAUACCGAUGCAGACAGUUCAUGACCAUGCUACAUCAUAGAUACUGAUAAUUAUCAAUUACUAACCUCUCUCUGUACUUUUAGCCGGAUUUAGAUCCCACAGUCUAUUUAAAAAAUUAGCAGUGUUGUUAUGCCCUAUGCCAUAACCAAUAAUUAGUUCUCAAUAAACAUUACAAAUGCAGAUGAACUGGUUACUACUGAAUUGCUUUCUGAGAAAGCUUGUACUGAAUAAACUGCCUAGCACUUUUUUUCACUCCAACAUGGAUCAUGCGCAAAAGAAAAAGUACUUCAGGGUGAGUGUGUUCAAAAACGCAUGACAUGAAAGCAAGACUUUCCUGCUUUGACUUUUCAAACAAUAAACAAAAUUUAUACAGAUAAAAAUGUAAUCAUUUACCCAAAGUCUUCUUACUUGUUUAAUUUGACUCAUGUUACACAGCAAUGCAUGGAACAGCAUUUCAAACAGUGGCUUUAUUUUCCAACAGCAAUAAAGUCAUAUUAGGCAGCUCUUGCCACAGAACUGUAUGUUCAUACUAAUGAGGUGCCAUUUAGAGUUCCACAAGCUUUUAAUUAUCGUUAGCAGUAAACUAAACCAUCCAACUGGAAGUCAAUUGAAACAGAUCAAACAAUAAUGAAGAAUUUCACAUCAGCAGGUGGAAAUAUUUAUUGCAUCAGCACUUGAAAUGGUGGGAAAUUGAGGGAAAAGUUUCAGGCAGGAAGAAUCAUGUCCUGUGGGUGUUGAAUGUUUUUGAGAUCUCAGAAACCAAGUACAAGAUCUUUUCAGUUGAUAAACUCACAACUAAGCCAUUUAUACAAGGCAAACAGAAUGAUGAAAAUCUGUAUUGUAUGAUCACAGUGCUGUAUUUUAUUCCUGUUUUAACUUCAAAAUGUUCUGCUGAUUCCAUUGUUUGUGUCAGUUCCAGAGAAUCUGAUAGUUAUUUAAGUUAUGCAGACUACACAUUGUUUAUGUUCCAUUAUUUUGCCAUCGUAGAACCUUCUAAAUGUUAGCAAAAUAACAAGAGAUCUUGAUUUUAUAGAUAUAUUCCAUUUCAAACAAAAUGUGUACCCACCUACCAAGGUCAGUGGGUUCUAUAAACAAACCCUACAACUUAUCAGCUAUCAGCUACAUGUCGAUUAUUUAUUUGACUCCUUAAAUUGAAUAAGCACAUUCACUUCAAGGUUCAACAUGUCAUGUGUACAGAGAUGGUUUUCUGCACACACUGUUGUAGCGCAUGGUUAGUUGAGUUACUGUCACCUUGUUGUCAGCUGGAACCAUUAAUCAAAGUCUGGCCAUUGACUGCUUUCAUUAACAAGUCACUUUCGCCCAAAGAACUGCUACUCACUGGAUGCUUUUUUUUUUGUUUUUUACAUUAUUCUCUGGAAAUUCUAGAGACUCUCAUGUAUGAAAAUUCCAGGAGAUCAGCAGUUUCUGAGAUACUCAAACCACCCUGUCUGGCAGCAACAAUCAUUCUACAGUCAAAGUCACCUAGAUCAUAUUUCUUCCCCAUUCUGAUGUUUGGUCUGUACAACAACUGAAUCUCAUGACCAUUGAGCUGCCACGACAUGUUUGACCAAUUAGAUAAUCUUCAUUCAACACACAAAAAUUGCUGGAAGAUCUCAGCAUGCAGCAUUCAUUCAGAUAGGGUUGUUAAGUAAUAACAAUAAUAAUAAUAAAUGCAAUACCCCCCCCCCAUAGCUGUACUUCGAUUAAUUUGCCACAGAUUUUGGUAGAGAAUUUUCUAUCCUGAAAUGGCCUGAAUUUUUUUUUAAUGGAGUAGAAUUACUUGGAUCCCAGCAUAAAACAAAACUCUUUGAGCAAUUCACGAUAAUUAUUGCUAAAAAUAAUAGGCACACAAAUUUGUAUUCAUAGUAGAAUGACUUGCACACAAAUAGGCCAGUGAAGGCAGGAGCAAUGAGCCUGCAUAGCACAGAAGUAGAUUUUUAAGUGGAACUCUAUAUUAGUGGAGAGACAUACCUGAAGUGAAUUUUUAAUUAUUGCUGUCUUGGAGUCAAAAACAAAUGAUGAUUGUAAAAUCAACUGCAAUGUAAGUUUUUGACCUCAGAAUAAGAUAGUUAUUUCUUCCCUUUUAUUCUUCUCAAGGAGAGAUGAAUCACAUGCAAUUGAUUAGCACAGACACCAUCCUUCCUAAGUCGGUGUACCCAUACAUUGUGAUAAACAUUAGAAGUUAAUGGAGAGCCAUGGUUUGUUUGCCUACCAAUGUGAUGGCUAAAGUAACAACACCCCAUGAUUAUAAUUCCUGAUUCAAAUUUACUACUGCAAGGGAGAAAGGAAAUCAUGUUGUAUUUGUUUUUUUCCUCAUUUCAAGCUGUUUUCAUAGAGGUAAAAUUUCACUUGUGGCUCACCACUGAGUGCUUGUAAAUAGAGACCUGAUGUAAAUCAUAGUGGUGUUAGGGGAGCAUAAGACUAAUACAGCCAGCCAGCCAUUCAUUAUGUGCUUUUGGAUCUCAGUAUGAUUGACAACAGCUUUGUGUUUAUGAACUUCUGCAGACCAGACAUUCAGUAAAGAACAGUUUGAAAUCAGUUCAAGCUGAAAAAAUACAUUCAAAUCUCAAAAUCAGGCAAAGCAAUUUUAAUUAAAAGUUUCUUUUCCACAGAGGAGUAGAGCACUUCACAAGUCAAGCUGCAUCAAAAAAAAAUAAGCUCCGACUAAAGCUAACAUUGGAGAAGUCAAUCAUACAAGCAUAAACACAUCUUCAUAAGAAGUCCUGGUUGUGGAUGUAGUAUUAUUCGGGGAAUGCUUCUUUUCCUGAGACCAGCAAAAUGGAACUAGCCAUUAAACAGUGAAGGAGAAUUCCAGUAAAUGCCUGAUUUCUUAUUUUAGUGAAGCUUUUUUGCAGGUUGCUCUUGCCUCAAUGUCACAACCACCAAGCACCAUAGCAUCAGUGGGAUGCUAGUGGAGUGGUGCCACAUCAGU